GGCUGAAAUUCGCCUUCAUGAAGCCGGAAUUGCUAGUAAUGGCAGGUCAGCAUACUGCCGUGAAUACGUUCCCGGGCCUUGUACACACCGCCCGUCACACCAUGAGGGUUGGCAACACCCGAAGUCGGUAGUCUAACCGCAAGGAGGACGCCGCCGAAGGUGGGGUUGAUGAUUAGGGUUAAGUCGUAACAAGGUAAC
rnacentral:rRNA from 1 species